rnacentral:rRNA from 1 species
UACGGGGGGGGCAAGCGUUGUUCGGAAUUACUGGGCGUAAAGGGCUCGUAGGUGGCCAACUAAGUCAGACGUGAAAUCCCUCGGCUUAACCGGGGAACUGCGUCUGAUACUGGAUGGCUUGAGUUCGGGAGAGGGAUGCGGAAUUCCAGGUGUAGCGGUGAAAUGCGUAGAUAUUCGCAAGAACACCAGUGGCGAAGGCGGCUCACUGGCCCGGUACUGACGCUGAGGUGCGAAAGCGUGGGGAGCAAACAGG